GAUGAACGCUGGCGGCGUGCCUAAUACAUGCAAGUCGAGCGAACAGACGAGGAGCUUGCUCCUCUGACGUUAGCGGCGGACGGGUGAGUAACACGUGGAUAACCUACCUAUAAGACUGGGAUAACUUCGGGAAACCGGAGCUAAUACCGGAUAAUAUAUUGAACCGCAUGGUUCAAUAGUGAAAGACGGUUUUGCUGUCACUUAUAGAUGGAUCCGCGCCGCAUUAGCUAGUUGGUAAGGUAACGGCUUACCAAGGCAACGAUGCGUAGCCGACCUGAGAGGGGGGAGGGGCACCACGGAAACGGGACCCGGGCCGAACCCCCGAGGGGGGGAGAAAGAGGGAUGUCGCCGCGAGGGGGGGAAGGUUUGAGGGCGCAGGCGGGGGGGAGGAAGAAGGGCUUGGGAAUCGAAAAACUUGUUUAUGAGGAAAAAAAAAGUUGGAAAGUAACUAGACACGUCUGGAGGAACCAUAAUAAAAAGCCCCCGAAAAACUAGGGC
rnacentral:rRNA from 1 species